CGACUGGACAGCCAGUCACAGAAAAUCGAGGAAGAAUAGGUUAAGAAACAAAACAAUGUUUACUAGGCUCUCCGAGGAAUACCGAAGCAAUGAAAAGCAAAUGUGGUCCCUAGUCUCAUAGGGUGACAGAUGUAUCUUUCAGUAAACGGGUGUCACUUAAAAGAAAACCAAGCGAACAAGCGGCCACGCACACAGCCGUUGCAGCAUAAAAUAUUUAUGGUUCGGCAACACAAUCGGCCGGGGAGUACAAGUCCGAAACUAAAGGAACCGAGUCUACAAAAGAACAUGUGUUCAAAUCGCAAAAUCGAUAUGAACCUAAUAAACAAGAAUUUUAAUUGUUAAGAAGCACUCGCGAAACAGCAAAAGGUGAAGGAAAUGGAUAGUACAAUUAAUUCUACAAGUCAACCACACACUAGUUCCAAGUGCAAAUGUAAGAUACAUUUUAAUAGGAGAAUGUUUAAAGAAAAGACUGGUAAACAGAUUAUCAAUUUGAAGUGCAAAUGUCUUAAAAUUUUUAAAGGAAACAUACCAGGGAAACAUAUAAAAAAGAAAAAUAAGUUUGUCGGCAAAAGUUGUACUUGUAGAAGAGAUGUUCAUGAAAAAAGAUUUGGAGGGAUUAGUGAAGUGUAAGUCCUUUUUUUAUUAUAUGCUUUUUUGUAAAUAUAUUUCUUAGUCAACCACACACUAGUCACAAGUGCAAAUGUAAGAUAAAUUUUAAUUGGAGAAUGGUUAAAGAAAAUACUGGGAAAGAUAAGUUUGUCGGCAGAAAGUGUGUUUGCAGAAGAGAGCGGAAGGGAUUACAGUCAAAUGUGAUGUGUUUCAAAUAUAAUUUAAUAUUUGCUUAAUAGUUGAAUUUGGCAUUAUAUAUUUUUUUUAAAUAUCUUCACAAUUACGUAACUGGGUCUCUAUGUUUAUUUCGUUUAUAUUUUAUAAUUUUUACCAAAGAAAACUAACUUUAUACUUAUUUUUACCCAAGUGGCUUUUAUGGGCCUUGAAUAUAUAAUUCACAUAAUAAAAUUGUUUUUUAAUUUUUAUAUAAAAGUUAAUUUAAAACGGUUGAAGCCAAAAUACGGAAAGCGCCGAAUGAUCAGUGGCCGCGGAAAUUUUUAAAACAAACCUUAACAUAUAAACUAUUUUUCACCUCCCUAUAUAUCAAAAUAUAAGAACCUUUCUUCCUUUUUACUAUCUAUCUAAAAAAUAUUUGUUUGCACUCCCGUACGAGAGUUGCUAUUGAGGGAAACUAAAAAACUGAA